AACUAGGUUUGUUUUAGAACUCAAAGCUCAUUCUCUUAAAGCCUCAAUCCCUCUUAGGCCUACCCGCACAAGUCCUUUUUCCCUCUGCUCCAUUGCCUUGCCAGUUGCCUCCUCCUUUAGCCCUGCUCCACUACCUUAUCCCCCCCACCCCAGACUUUACUCCACUUCCUUGCCCCCUUUGCAGGGAGUCUCGUACUGUACUACCAUGCAUGUUACCCUGCUAACCCAAUCAAAUCCUAACCCAGUCAGGAUCUCGUCCCCCUAUAGCCUAUAAAUAGAGAGGUGGAAGAAAAGGAAGUGGAGAAGGGAGCAUCUUGAGGGGAAUUACUCGAGUAGCAAAGAAAUAGAGAGAAAUAAAGAGAGAUAAUAAAAAAGGUAGAAGAAGAUGCAAUGGCUUCCAAGGUAGAGAGAGUCUCAAAGCUGCUGGAUAAGGAAGAAGAAGAAGUCAAAAAAGAAGAAACAUAAGAAAGGAGUACUGCAGAGGGCAUAGAGACAAUUCAAAGGCUCGCGGGGAGGUCAAGUAGAGGCAGGAGAAAAAAGAAAAAAAAAGAGGAGUUAGAGACCUAAAAGGUUCAUAAUUCAGCACACAUAUGAGGUAAAGGACAUGGAAUCUUGGAGGAACAUAAAGAUCAUAUUAUCCAGCUUAUUCCAUGAAGAUUGAAGAGCAAAAGCGAAGACAAUCAUUUUAAUUUGUAUUGCAUUUAAUUCUUAUAUCUUUUUUCUGUAAUAACAGUAUACAUCUUGCAUGAUAUGUUUUAAAUGCUCAGAUGGCCGUAGAUUGACCA